UGGGGACAUGGAAAGGGAGAUGUCAAAAAGUAACAAGCAUCAAAAUCAGAGUAACAAGUAUAUAAAUCCAUAGAGAUGAAGUCCGCAAAGUUCAAGUAGUCGAAGCGCUAAAAGCAGAGUGGUAGCACAGAACCCCCAUGGGCGCACAGAUACCCACUUGCAGUUCGGAUAUGUAGUGUGAAAUUAGGGAGGCUCAUAUAAGUUCUAACCUGAACUUUAUCGAACUGAACAGUCUUUCCUCUCAGCUUUUCCAAGACACUCGUUUUCAGGCAAGGCUCGCAAAACUGUGAACUGAAUUCUGAGCUCUGUUUGAGCUCAGCAUGUUUUCGAUCUAAGCUGAGCCUAAACAAGUUGUUAUCAAACCAAACCUAAGGAGUUUUUAAGAGAUCAGUAUUUCAGCAGAGUUUUGACUAUUAUAAGCAAAUUAUUAGGUUUUCAUAUAUAUAAUAUGUAUGUGUAUAUAAUUAUAUAUAUGUGUGUGUGUGUGUGUGUAUAUGUAUGUAUAUAAGUAUGUAUAUAUAUUUAUUUAUGUGUGUGUGUGUGUGUGUGUGUAUAGAUGUAUAUAAGUCCAAAUCAUACAUUUAUGUCAUUACACAUCCAUUAACAUGAAAGCAACUUAGAGAAAUAUAUUAAAGAAAUUCAAGUUGCAUCAAUAUCUUCGAAAUGAUACUUGCACUACAUGAGCUCUCGAAUGCAAACACGUACUGGAAAACCAUCAAACAGAAAUGGGAUGAAAAGAAUUAAAUCCAAAAGGGAGAAUUAGGGGGGUUAAAAUUGGGGGAAAUCAAUCAAUUAAUGCAAUUGGGCACAAUUAAGCUCAAUUUAAAUUUGAACUGGGAUGAGGUGCGAUUUUGACCAAUUUUAGGCUAAAUUGAAGUAGGGAAAGCAGCUUAAUAAGACAGAAAUUUAACAAAACCAAGGAGCUAAGUUUAAGUGUAUGCGAUUGCUUAUUGAUUUUAGGCCUAAAA
rnacentral:lncRNA from 1 species